CAGAGGUCUCAAGCGUUGUUCGGAUUCAUUGGGCGUAAAGGGUGCGUAGGUGGCGCGGUAAGUCGGGUGUGAAAUUUCGGAGCUUAACUCCGAAACUGCAUUCGAUACUGCCGUGCUUGAGGACUGGAGAGGAGACUGGAAUUUACGGUGUAGCAGUGAAAUGCGUAGAGAUCGUAAGGAAGACCAGUGGCGAAGGCGAGUCUCUGGACAGUUCCUGACACUGAGGCACGAAGGCCAGGGGAGCAAACGGGAUUAGAUACCCCGGUAGUCCUGGCAGUAAACGGUGCACGUUUGGUGUGGGAGGAUUCGACCCCUUCUGCGCCGGAGCUAACGCGUUAAACGUGCCGCCUGGGGAGUACGGUCGCAAGAUUA
rnacentral:rRNA from 1 species